rnacentral:rRNA from 1 species
GACGAACCGAGCGAACGUUGUUCGGAAUCACUGGGCUUAAAGGGCGCGUAGGCGGGUGCUCAAGUCCGGGGUGAAAUCCCACAGCUCAACUGUGGAACUGCCUCGGAUACUGGGUGUCUCGAGGGUGGCAGGGGUAUGCGGAACUAUCGGUGGAGCGGUGAAAUGCGUUGAUAUCGAUAGGAACUCCGGUGGCGAAGGCGGCAUACUGGUCCACUUCUGACGCUGAGGCGCGAAAGCCAGGGGGAGCAAAACGGGG